GACGAACGCUGGCGGCGUGCUUAACACAUGCAAGUCGAGCGGAAAGGCCCUUUCGGGGGUACUCGAGCGGCGAACGGGUGAGUAACACGUGAGUAAUCUGCCUUGGCUUUGGGAUAACUACCGGAAACGGUGGCUAAUACCGGAUACGACGUACUCAGGCAUCUGAUGUGCGUGGAAAGUCUUUUCGGCCAGGGAUGUGCUCGCGGCCUAUCAGCUUGUUGGUGGGGUAAUGGCCUACCAAGGCUUCGACGGGUAGCCGGCCUGAGAGGGUGACCGGCCACACUGGGACUGAGACACGGCCCAGACUCCUACGGGAGGCAGCAGUGGGGAAUAUUGGACAAUGGGCGGAAGCCUGAUCCAGCAACGCCGCGUGAGGGAUGACGGCCUCGGUUGU
rnacentral:rRNA from 1 species